UACGAAGGGGGCUAGCGUUGCUCGGAAUCACUGGGCGUAAAGCGCACGUAGGCGGAUUGCUAAGUCAGGGGUGAAAUCCUGGAGCUCAACUCCAGAACUGCCUUUGAUACUGGCGAUCUUGAGUCCGGGAGAGGUGAGUGGAACUGCGAGUGUAGAGGUGAAAUUCGUAGAUAUUCGCAAGAACACCAGUGGCGAAGGCGGCUCACUGGCCCGUUACUGACGCUGAGGUGCGAAAGCGUGGGGAGCAAACAGG
rnacentral:rRNA from 1 species